rnacentral:rRNA from 1 species
AGAAUCAACGCUGGCGGCGCGCCUAACACAUGCAAGUCGAACGAGAAAGUGGAGCAAUCCAUGAGUACAGUGGCGUACGGGUGAGUAACACGUGGAUAAUCUACCUCUUAGUGGGGAAAUACCGCUGGGAAACCGGCGACAAUACCGCAUAAGCUCGAGAGAGGAAAGCAGCAAUGCGCUGAGAGAGGAGUCCGCGGCCGAUUAGCUAGUUGGUAGGGUAAUGGCCUACCAAGGCAACGAUCGGUA